AGUUAUAUUUUGACUCAAGACAGGACCUAAUUGUUUGUUGUGCCUUUUUUUAUAAUUAAAGUUUAUUGUAAUUUAUCUUUUGUUUAUUCAACAUAGCAAGCAGUGACUCUUACUUCAUAGCUACUUAGAAUUACAUAUUCAAUCCAACCUUGGAGCACGCUAUGAAAACUCUCUUGUCGUUGAACUGGAUAUUGCAGCACGGGAGGAAUUCAAACUCAUAGAACAUGGCCUUGAACGACUAUGAGACAGAAUGUCUCGAGACAAGAUUCAAAAGGAAUCUAAAAAACCGGGGGAGGUGGUUCCAGAUUCAAUGGAGGAAGAGGACGUUGUCUCCUCCGAUAGUUCUGAUGAGGCUGAUUCUGCUGGACGAAAGGCUUCUAUGCUGUCAUAUGACCUCAAUAAGAUGCCAGAAGAGAAUGAAUAACCUUAUAGUGGAAUGUCUCCUGGGAAGAAGAAUGCGUGACACUUGGCUAUGUGGGCUAAACGAUACUUGAAACCUUAAGGAUAGUGCAGUAGUUUAGAUGAAGAAUUUGGGUCUAGGUUGUAUAGGAUAGCCGAGACGUAUUUGUUGAAUUUGUCUUGACUUUAUAACUGUUCAGUAUCUUAUGAGGAAUUGUUAUUAUGCUACAUUGAAGGCUAUUGGUCUCCCAUCUUUCUUA